ACGGGAUGCUCAGUACGGCGAGUGAAGCGGCAAAGCUCCAUUUUGAAAGCUCUUCGGAGCGUUGUAGAUUGGUGGGAAGCUAACGGCUGGUGGGAGACCAAGUCCUCUGGAACGAGGCGCCAUAGAGGGUGAGAGCCCCGUGUGUCUCCUUUACCGACCUUUCAGCCCCCUCCGCGGAGUCGAGUUGUUUGGGAAUGCAGCUCUAAGUGGGUGGUAAAUUCCAUCUAAGGCUAAAUAUUGGCGAGAGACCGAUAGCGAACAAGUACAGUGAUGGAAAGAUGAAAAGCACUUUGAAAAGAGAGUGAAACAGUACGUGAAAUUGUUGAAAGGGAAGGGUAUUUGGCCCGACAUGGGUCCUAUGCACCGUUGCCUCUCGUGGGCGGCGCUCUGCUUGGGCCUGGGCCAGCGUCAGUUUGGAGGGGGCGAGAAGGGUUUUGGGGAGUUGCCUACAAUUCCCCUUUGCUAGAUUGCCCCACACCGGACUGAGGACCGCCAUCUGUAGGAUGCUGGCACAACGGCCAAAUACCGCCCGUCUUGACAGA
rnacentral:rRNA from 1 species